rnacentral:rRNA from 1 species
CUACAGAAUACUCAAGCUGUGGCGAAGGCGUCUUACCAGAACGGGUUCGACGGUGAGGGACGAGAGCUGGGGGCACGAACCGGAUUAGAUACCCGGGUAGUCCCAGCCGUAAACGAUGCUCGCUAGGUGUCAGGCAUGGCGCGACCGUGUCUGGUGCCGCAGGGAAGCCGUGAAGCGAGCCACCUGGGAAGUACGGCCGCAAGGCUGAAACUUAAAGGAAUUGGCGGGGAGCACAACAACGGGUGGAGCCUGCGGUUUAAUUGGACUCAACGCCGGACAACUCACCGGGGGCGACAGCAGAAUGAAGGUCAAGCUGAAGACUUUACCAGACAAGCUGAGAGGAGGUGCAUGGCCGUCGCCAGCUCGUGCCGUGAGGUGUCCUGUUAAGUCAGGUAACGAGCGAGACCCCUGCCUCUAGUUGCUACCAUUAUUCUCAGGAGUAGUGGAGCUAAUUAGAGGGACUGCCGUCGCUGAGACGGAGGAAGGAGGGGGCUACGGCAGGUCAGUAUGCCCCGAAACCCUCGGGCCACACGCGGGCCGCAAUGGUAAGGACAAUGAGUAUCGAUUCCGAAAGGAGGAGGCAAUCUCUAAACCUUACCACAGUUAUGAUUGAGGGCUGAAACUCGCCCUCAUGAAUAUGGAAUCCCUAGUAACCGCGUGUCACUAUCGCGCGGUGAAUACGUCCCUGCUCCUUGCACACACCGCCCGUCGCUUCAUCGAAGUUGGUUCUUGGCGAGGUGAUGCCUAAUUGGUACUAUCGAACCUGGGGUCAGCAACGAGGGAG